GAUGAACGCUGGCGGUGUGCCUAAUACAUGCAAGUCGAGCGAACAGACGAGGAGCUUACUCCUCUGACGUUAGCGGCGGACGGGUGAGUAACACGUGGAUAACCUACCUAUAAGACUGGGAUAACUUCGGGAAACCGGAGCUAAUACCGGAUAACAUGUUGAACCGCAUGGUUCAACAGUGAAAGACGGUCUUGCUGUCACUUAUAGAUGGAUCCGCGUCGCAUUAGCUAGUUGGUAAGGUAACGGCUUACCAAGGCAACGAUGCGUAGCCGACCUGAGAGGGUGAUCGGCCACACUGGAGCUGAGACACGGUCCAGACUCCUACGGGAGGCAGCAGUAGGGAAUCUUCCGCAAAGGGCGAAAGCCUGACGGAGCAACGCCGCGUGAGUGAAGAAGGUCUUCGGAUCGUAAAACUCUGUUAUUAGGGAAGAACAAAUGUGUAAGUAACUAUGCACGUCUUGACGGUACCUAAUCAGAAAGCCACGGCUAACUACGUG
rnacentral:rRNA from 1 species